rnacentral:rRNA from 1 species
CUACGGGUCGCAGCAGUGGGGAAUAUUGCACAAUGGGGGAAACCCUGAUGCAGCAACGCCGCGUGGAGGAUGACGCAUUUCGGUGUGUAAACUCCUUUUAUAUGUCAAGAAAAUGACGGUAGCAUAUGAAUAAGCACCGGCUAACUCCGUGCCAGCAGCCGCGGUAAUACGGAGGGUGCAAGCGUUACUCGGAAUCACUGGGCGUAAAGGACGCGUAGGCGGGUUGGAAAGUCAGGUGUGAAAUCCUACAGCUUAACUGUAGAACUGCACUUGAAACUUCUAAUCUAGAGUAUGGGAGGGGGAGAUGGAAUUUGUGGUGUAGGGGUAAAAUCCGUAGAUAUCACUAGGAAUACCUAAAGCGAAGGCGAUCUCCUGGAACAUUACUGACGCCAAGGCGUGAAAGCGUGGGGAGCAAACAGGAUUAGAUACCCUCGUAGUC